rnacentral:tRNA from 1 species
GCCUGGGUGGCUCAGUCGGUUAAGCACCUGACUUUGGCUCAGGUCAUGAUCUCACAGCUCGUGGGUUCGAGCCCCGCGUCGGGCU